GAGGACGUGAAAUACCCUUGAAGGAGGAACAACACACGUAUGAAAUUGCUCCAACAGCUCCAACUGAUACAGGAGAUGUGAGCAGACCUCCAAUCAAAGAUCUGGAGAACCUUGUGAACCUCAGGAUCUGCAUCCUAAGGGACUGGAACAUCAAGGUGCUUUCAAGAAAGGUGUUUAAAAAGUACCCGUUCCAUGAGCUGGAGUGUCCCGGGGGCCUGCAGGAAGUUGAGUUCUUGAACUUGCUGAGGUCCACUCUUCCUCCGCUGGCUUUU